rfam:Cerapachys biroi unplaced genomic scaffold scaffold68, whole genome shotgun sequence.
GUGCCUUAAACUAAUGAGUAAGGAAAAUAUCGAGCUUUGGUAACGCUUAGCUAUGCUCAAGAUUAAGCGAACCAAUUUUUGAAGAGGCCCAGGUCGUCCCAGGGCUGUGCGAACUACUUUUUCGCGCGGUCGGGUGAAGCGAUCUGCCUC